rnacentral:rRNA from 1 species
UGCCAGCCGCCGCGGUAAUACGGAAGGGGCUAGCGUUGUUCGGAUUUACUGGGCGUAAAGCGCGCGUAGGCGGCGGACCAAGUUAGGCGUGAAAGCCCUGGGCUCAACCCGGGAACUGCGCUUAAGACUGGUUUGCUUGAGUCCGGGAGAGGGUGGUGGAACUCCCAGUGUAGAGGUGAAAUUCGUAGAUAUCAGGAGGAACACCGAUGGCGAAGGCGGCUUUCUGGACCGAUACUGACGCUGAGACGCGAAAGCGUGGGGAGCAAACAGGAUUAGAUA